AUUUUCAGGCUGCAAUUUCCUGUUUAAAAAGAGGGACGUUCAAAGCAGUGUAAAAGAAUGGGAGGAUACCUGGAAGUCUGCUGUUAAUAUUUCUGUGCCUAGCUGCCUGGUUAUUGUUUAAAGAGUUCCCAAUUCUAUAUUUGUUAUUGAUAUACACUGUAACAUGUUAUGAGCUUAUUGUGAUACUGUUACGGCCACAAUCUUUUUCUCAGUUCAAGUUUUGUUUGUUAUCCAUUUACAUUUAGUCAUUUAGUCACUUCCUGGGUUCUAGGCAUCGAUUUAUGGUUGCCUCCAUAAAACUUAACUUAUAACACGGGUGAGUUGGUGACCAAGCUAACGUUUUCGAGUUUUUGUUUUAGAUUCACUGUUAGGUAAGGGAGCGCGCUGGCUACGCCUUCCCAUUGCGGGGAGGGCCAGCGGCUCCCAGGUUUUGGUUUAUUUUCACUAACUCAGUCUUGUUUUUCUGUUCAAUAAACUUUGGUAUUACUUUUAUAAACAUUGA